rnacentral:lncRNA from 1 species
CUUUAAUUCUUUUUCUUACAGUUCCUAAUCACAUUGCCUUAAUGCCCAAUUUUAAGUGUAUUUUCCCUUAAAGUCUGGUCUCCUUGUGAACGUCACAAUUACAAUGGUCAAACAUCACAAUUACAAUGGGAGAACUCAGUCCAAUCCGAUCUGGAUUUACUGUUACAAAUAGCAUAGAGAAUCGCAUUUUCCCAGGAGCCAUUUGCUGCCAGCUCCUCAAAGAACAGGGUCCAUCACUUUCAGUGAGUCUGGUGCUGUAGCUUUUUCCUGGCAGUCUUUCUCCUCAGAAAGAGGAGGGGGUGAGUCUGGGAGGAAGGGAUGGAGGAAGGGGGUGGAGACACUGGAGAGGAGGAGCCCACAGAGAUGAGCAGCCUGGUGGGUGGUGGCUCAGGUGGAGUUUGAGCCCUGGGGUGGAGUUUGGAGGCCUGGGAGGAGUUUAGAGCUGAAUUGAGAGGUCUUUGAACUGGAGAAGGACUGCGUGGUGCUCUUGGGAAUAGGAAAGCCCUCCCAGACUGGGCUGGCCAGAAGGAGGAAGUCUCUGAACUGAGACUGCUCUGCCUUCCUGGCAGCUCUAUUGUCGCUCUGCCUUCCCUGCUGGAGCUGAGAUGGCUCUGCUUUCUCUGGAGCUGAGAUCUCUGUGCCUUCCCCUGCAUCCAAGGUCACUCUGCCUUCCCCUGCAUCUGAGAUUGUUCUGCCUUCCCUGCUAGAGCUGAAAUUGCUCUCCCUUCCCUGCAGCUGAAAUCACUCUGCUUCUGGAAGUCAGCUCUGUGCUUACAGGUCCCAGGUCAGCCUCCUGCCUAGGAAGAGAACAGAAAGACCUUAUCCCACUGGGAUCCUUCUCCCUGCCCAGCUCAUUCUGCAGAGCACCAAGGCCUGGCCCAAGCAGGGAGCCUGGAGCCAGAGGGAAUGGCCCCUGGGAGCCACAGCCCCCCUGCCCAGGUGAGUGCAGUCUUGAUCAACAUUGGAUAAUGAGGCCAUUUACAUAGGAUGGUCUAUGAAGCUUAUGGACCAUUUUUUAAAAAUUAAUUUUUUUUAUUUUUAGUUUUAAACAUUCACUUCCCUAAGAUUUUGUGUUCUAAAUUUUCUCCCCCUCCCCAAGACAGCAUGCAAUCUGAUACAGGCUCUACAUAUACAUUCAUAUUAAACAUAUUUUUACAUUAGUCAUGUU